AUUGAACGCUGGCGGCGUGCUUAACACAUGCAAGUCGAUCGGUAACAGGUGUAGCAAUACAUGCUGACGAGAGGCGGACGGGUGAGGAAUAUUUGGGAAUCUGCCCAUCAGCGGGGGACAACCCGGGGAAACCCGGGCUAAUACCGCAUACGCUCUACGGAGGAAAGCCGGGGACCGCAAGGCCUGGCACUGAUGGAUGGGCCCAAAUCGGAUUAGCUAGUUGGCGGGGUAACGGCCCACCAAGGCGGCGAGCCGUAGCUGGUCUGAGAGGACGAUCAGCCACACCGGAACUGAGACACGGGCCGGACUCCUACGGGAGGCAGCAGUGGGGAAUAUUGGACAAUGGGGGAAACCCUGAUCCAGCGACGCCGCGUGGGUGAGGAAGGCCUGCGGGUUGUAAAGCCCUUUCGGUAGGGACGAAAGCUCUUGCUCUAAUAAUGCAAGAGGUUGACUUAACCUACAUAAGAAGCACCGGCUAACUCUGUGCCAGCCGCCGCGGUAA
rnacentral:rRNA from 1 species